rnacentral:misc_RNA from 1 species
GAUGAAGAACGCAGCGAAACGCGAUAAGUAAUGUGAAUUGCAGAAUCCAGUGAAUCAUCGAAUCUUUGAACGCACAUUGCGCCCGCCAGCAUUCUGGCGGGCAUGCCUGUUCGAGCGUCAUUUCAACCCUCGACCUCCCCUUGGGGAGGUCGGCGUUGGGGACCGGCAGCACACCGCCGGCCCUGAAAUGGAGUGGCGACCCGUCCGCGGCGACCUCUGCGCAGUAAUACAGCUCGCACCGGGACCCCGACGCGGCCACGCCGUAAAACACCCAACUUCUGAACGUUGACCUCGAAUCAGGUAGGACUACCCGCUGAACUUAAGCAUAUCAAUAAGCGGAGGA